rnacentral:lncRNA from 1 species
CUCUGGCUAGGAACACAAUUUUUUUUCUAUUUCAUCUGAAUUUCUGAAAAAACACACUUCUUUGAAAGGUUUUCUUGAUCUUGUGUUGAGGGUGUUAAAUAACUUCAUAAGUGUUCAUGUUUAUACUUGAACUUGUGUUGAAGUUGUUGUGCCUAAAUACAGAUUUCUUGUACCCGAAUAUAACAAUAAUAACAGUUCCUUUGUCAUAUGAAUUCUGAGCUGAGUCUUAGUCAAAAAGGCUAGAUGUGACUCACUACAGCUUAACUCAUUAAUGAAACUUACUUGUAGUGCCGAAUACUCAAGUAAUUCCUGUUUUGGCAUUGCAGUGGGUAUAUGGCACCAGAGUAUGCAGCGCACGGGCAAUUCUCAGUGAAAUCAGAUGUUUUUAGCUUUGGAGUGCUAGUCCUGGAAAUUUUAAGUGGCCAAAGAAACAUUUGUUUCAGAAAAGGGGAAUAUGUAGGGAACCUUCUGAGCUAUGUAAGUAGUAACCAAGACAAUUAAGCAUCUAUUCUUUUCAAUUCCAAAUGAGUUCAGAAGUUAAAGUCUUGAAUAUUUAUAAAUGUCACAGACUUGGACAAACUGGCGUGAAGGAAGAGCUUUGAAUUUGAUAGAUCCCAUAUUGAGGGAAAGCGCUGAACUGGCUGAUGACAUACUGACGAGAUUCAUCCACAUAGCUUUAUUGUGUGUCCAAGAAAAUGUGGCUGAUAGACCAACCAUGGCACAAGUUGUUCUCAUGCUCAGUAGCUGCUCUCUGGAUCUUCCAGUGCCUUCAGCGCCUGCAUACUCUGUUCACAGUGAUGUUAGCUUAGAGAUUUCUCUAAAAGAAUGCAGUAAUGAGGCGUAGAUGACUGAGUCAAAUUCAAGAUAAUAGCCUUAUUAUAUACAAUCGCCUGUCUUAAUGAUGGGAUGGAUGAUACUCGAAGGAAGGUGUCAACUAUGAAUGAGAAACUCUGAAGCCUCAGAGAUCAAAUUCUCUCGCUAUUUGCUCUCUUCCCCCUCUGAGUCUAGUGUUUCUGCCUCUAAUGAAAAUGAGAAAUAACUUGUUUAUUUGCACUUAGCAAGGACCAAGUAAACAUAUUACUAUGAGUAUUGUUUGUAUGUAUAGCUUUUAUUUGAAUCUGUUUCUGUAUGCAUGGUUUCGGGUUAAUUGGUUAUUGGAUUGAUGUGGGAUUGUUUGUUGAUAGGAAGGUUUUGCAUUGCAUUGAUUGAAGUUGGAUGAUGAAUUUGUACAACACAAUUUGGAAUCAAGAAUACAUACUCUUGACGGUCGCACUACAAUUUUCGAUAGAACAUUGUUUGCGCUGCUUGGCAACUUCCUGUUUUAAUUGCUUUGUCAACUCCAUUUUCAUCACGUAAUUAGUUAAGAUGUCUGUGGGAUAUGUAGUCGUCAAAAUAGAGGAAGAAUCUCUAGGGAGUGCAUUUUAAAACAUAAGGAAAA